UACGGAGGGGGCUAGCGUUGUUCGGAAUUACUGGGCGUAAAGCGCACGUAGGCGGACUUUUAAGUCAGAUGUGAAAUCCCCGGGGCUCAACCUCGGAACUGCAUUUGAAACUGGAAGUCUGGAGUUCAGGAGAGGUUAGCGGAAUACCGAGUGUAGAGGUGAAAUUCGUAGAUAUUCGGUGGAACACCAGUGGCGAAGGCGGCUAACUGGACUGAUACUGACGCUGAGGUGCGAAAGUGUGGGGAGCAAACAGGAUUAGAUACCCCCGUAGU
rnacentral:rRNA from 1 species